rnacentral:rRNA from 1 species
GACGAACGCUGGCGGCGUGCCUAAUACAUGCAAGUAGAACGCACAGUUUAUACCGUAGCUUGCUACACCAUAGACUGUGAGUUGCGAACGGGUGAGUAACGCGUAGGUAACCUGCCUGGUAGCGGGGGAUAACUAUUGGAAACGAUAGCUAAUACCGCAUAAUAUUAAUUAUUGCAUGAUAAUUGAUUGAAAGAUGCAACUGCAUCACUACCAGAUGGACCUGCGUUGUAUUAGCUAGUAGGUGAGGUAACGGCUCACCUAGGCGACGAUACAUAGCCGACCUGAGAGGGUGGUCGGCCACACUGGGACUGAGACACGGCCCAGACUCCUACGGGAAGCAGCAGUAGGGAAUCUUCGGCAAUGGACGAAAGUCUGACCGAGCAACGCCGCGUGAGUGAAGAAGGUUUUCGGAUCGUAAAGCUCUGUUGUAAGAGAAGAACGGGUGUGAGAGUGGAAAGUUCACACUGUGACGGUAUCUUACCAGAAAGGGACGGCUAACUACGUG